GACGAACGCUGGCGGCGUGCUUAACACAUGCAAGUCGAACGGGAUUUAGUAAACGGAAGCCUCGGUGGAAGAUUACUAAUGAGAGUGGCGAACGGGUGAGUAACGCGUGAGCAACCUGCCUAUGACAGUGGGAUAGCCUCGGGAAACCGGGAUUAAUACCGCAUAAAAUCGUAGAAACACAUGUUUCAACGGUCAAAGAUUUAUCGGUCAUAGAUGGGCUCGCGUCUGAUUAGCUAGUUGGUGAGAUAACAGCCUACCAAGGCGACGAUCAGUAGCCGGUCUGAGAGGAUGAACGGCCACAUUGGAACUGAGACACGGUCCAAACUCCUACGGGAGGCAGCAGUGGGGAAUAUUGCACAAUGGGGGAAACCCUGAUGCAGCGACGCCGCGUGAACGAAGAAGGUAUUCGUAUCGUAAAGUUCUGUCCUAUGGGAAGAUAAUGACAGUACCAUAGAAGAAAGCUCCGGCUAAAUACGUG
rnacentral:rRNA from 1 species